rnacentral:lncRNA from 1 species
CUUGCGUCGCUGCUCCUGUCUCCGUGUAACUCACAAUAAAGAGAUUUUGGCAUCAACCGUGAGCUUAGGGGUAGAAGGGUAUAUGUUAGGAGGUGGGAGCAGAAUCAAUUCUUCAAAUCUUAAUGAUGGUGAAGAAGAGUGCUCACCAGAUUCCCUUCUGGUCUGGAAAAAGAAAUCCCUUCUUUUGUGGAUGUCAUCUCUACCAUCUCUCGGUGAAAAAUAUUUCAAGAGAAUCCUAAGAUGGAGAGAGCAUUGGAAGUCAUCCGGCCCAAUUCCCUUGUGCAAUUCAAAGCUUCUUUGUAAGAAAAAUGCCCCCAGAAGUUUGUUUGCAUCAUGAAGAUCAGAUUUUGAGGAUCCAGUCUGGCUCUUCCCUGUACAAAACAUUCCUCACAAACAGAAUAUGGACAAUUGUUAAAUGUCAAAGGUAAAGUUAUUGUGGGAACUCCUUCAAAAAGUUCAAGUGAGAGCCCAUUCUAUGAAUGACCAUUUACAUCUAAUUUUUUUCUGUGCUAUGUUACUUAUUCUGAAGUGGUUGAUCCAAUUCCUAAAAGGGAAUAUUUCAUUACCUUUUAUUUCCUAUAGCAUCCAUUCUGACCCCUUUUCGGUUUAAUUAUUCCCUGAUUCCAGUCUUCAUUCACUCAUUUAUUUGAGGAAUAUUUAUUGACCAACAACUAUGCCAGGUCCCAUUCUAUGUGUAGGGACUAUAAAGUUGAACAAGACAGAGGAGGUACUGGCCUCAGAAUUUACAUUCUAGUAGAUGAGAAAGUAAAAAUAAACACAUGAAAACAUGAAUGAACCGGAUAUUGUAGACUGUGAUAGGUGUAGUUUGGGUAAAGCACAGAGUGCAGUAGUAAAGAUAAACUGCACUCAGAGUGGGGCUAUUUUAGAUGGAAUGGAGAUCUCUGAGGAAAUGAAAUUUGAGCUGAGACCUAAAAGGUCACCCAAGGACUCAUGGGAAAACUCAGUUGUUUCUAUCAAAAUUUAGCUUCAUGAACUCCAGGCCCUUGCAAAUGAUGGUUACCAGGUGAGAAAUGUCUCACUGGCAACAGAGGUUGGCAGACCCAGCUCCAGUUCCAUCCCAGCCAACAUACCAAUGUCAUUAAAAUAAGGCCAUUCAUCAAGGUGGAGACUAUUACUAGAAACAAGCAUUCUAAAGUGCCAUUUGAGUGCCAGGCUCUCAACACUGGGCGUAGCACUGCUCCAUGAGGCUUUUGAGAGCAUAUACUGAGGCAUGACCAAAAAAAUUAAGUCCCAUGUAAGUGAUGCAACUGCUCCCCAAUUACUGUGGAAGUAUCUGCAGACUAACUAUUGUGCGUGUGUGUUUGUUUGCUUUAAUGAAUAAAUUCAGUCAACCAACCAUCUAGCUAUUGACUAAAUCCAUUCUUUUUCUUCCAAAAUGUCUAUUGGCUGAAGUUUACUGGUUUUUAUUUCUAUUCGCAUACGUAAUUUUCUAAACCCCAUUCUUAUGGAACCUUCUCUAAGUUCCUCUCUAUGGCCCUGUCCAUGUUCAUACGGAUACACAUAAAGACACAAAUACACCAAACUAAGUUUAGAGCAGUCUGGUGCCUGCCUAAGACUUCAGCCUCAUCUCCUGCUUCUACCCUCUUUAGUUUAGGAAAAACAGGUAACGUUGCUGAGUGCCAAGUAUUGUGUUAGUAGCUUUGCAUGCAUUUUUUCAUUUUAUCUUCACAAGUUUCUUCUAUCACCAUGAUCUGUAUGUUUGACCAUGGUGUUUCCUCCACCUGAAAUUCCCUUGGUGCUCUGCCUGGGGAACUGUUACUCAUUCUUCAAAUCUCAACGGAAUGAUCUCCUCCUCUGGAAAGCUCUCCCUACUUCCCUAGGAAGAAGUAAUCCCUUCCUCAGUUCUGCUUUGAUUAUAACUUUAUAAGCACCUAUCACUCUGCAUGGUAUUAGUUCACUGUCAUGUCCAUUUCCUCUAUUGGGAUGUAAAUUGCUUAUGGGUAAUAAUUAGGCUUUGAAUCAUUUUAUGAUCUGGCCUAAGACAGUGCUUGGCACAUACUAUAGGCUCAUCAGAUGAUGGCUGAGUAGAAUUAAAUUGAAUCAAGUUGAAGUUAUACUUUGAUGUUUAUCAAUUAACAUGUGUAGUGUGUUAAAUGGUGGUCACUGAAAACAUACGUCUGCACCCUAAUUCCUGGAACCUGUGAAUAUAACCUUACAUGUUAAGAAGAAAUAUGACCUUAAAUGGAUAUGGAGACAAGGAGCUUAUCCUGGAUUGUCUGAGAGGGCCCUAGAUGCAAUCGCAUGUAUUCUGAUAAGUGGAGAGAAACAGAAGAGGAGGAUGCAAUGUGACCAUGUAGGCAGAAGUUUGAAUGGUGCAGCCACAAGCCAAGGAGCCCCUGGGGCCAUCAGAAGCUGGAAGAAGCAAGGAAUGGAUUCCUUCCUAGUGUUUGGAAGGAGUGUGCACUUGCCAACACCUUGGUUUGAGACUUCUGGCCUCUGGAACUGUGACAGAAUAAAUAUCUGUUGUUUUGAGCCAAAAAUGCCCCCAGAAGUUUGUUUGCAUCAUGAAGAUCAGAUUUUGAGGAUCCAGUCUGGCUCUUCCCUGUACAAAACAUUCCUCACAAACAGAAUAUGGACAAUUGUUAAAUGUCAAAGGUAAAGUUAUUGUGGGAACUCCUUCAAAAAGUUCAAGUGAGAGCCCAUUCUAUGAAUGACCAUUUACAUCUAAUUUUUUUCUGUGCUAUGUUACUUAUUCUGAAGUGGUUGAUCCAAUUCCUAAAAGGGAAUAUUUCAUUACCUUUUAUUUCCUAUAGCAUCCAUUCUGACCCCUUUUCGGUUUAAUUAUUCCCUGAUUCCAGUCUUCAUUCACUCAUUUAUUUGAGGAAUAUUUAUUGACCAACAACUAUGCCAGGUCCCAUUCUAUGUGUAGGGACUAUAAAGUUGAACAAGACAGAGGAGGUACUGGCCUCAGAAUUUACAUUCUAGUAGAUGAGAAAGUAAAAAUAAACACAUGAAAACAUGAAUGAACCGGAUAUUGUAGACUGUGAUAGGUGUAGUUUGGGUAAAGCACAGAGUGCAGUAGUAAAGAUAAACUGCACUCAGAGUGGGGCUAUUUUAGAUGGAAUGGAGAUCUCUGAGGAAAUGAAAUUUGAGCUGAGACCUAAAAGGUCACCCAAGGACUCAUGGGAAAACUCAGUUGUUUCUAUCAAAAUUUAGCUUCAUGAACUCCAGGCCCUUGCAAAUGAUGGUUACCAGGUGAGAAAUGUCUCACUGGCAACAGAGGUUGGCAGACCCAGCUCCAGUUCCAUCCCAGCCAACAUACCAAUGUCAUUAAAAUAAGGCCAUUCAUCAAGGUGGAGACUAUUACUAGAAACAAGCAUUCUAAAGUGCCAUUUGAGUGCCAGGCUCUCAACACUGGGCGUAGCACUGCUCCAUGAGGCUUUUGAGAGCAUAUACUGAGGCAUGACCAAAAAAAUUAAGUCCCAUGUAAGUGAUGCAACUGCUCCCCAAUUACUGUGGAAGUAUCUGCAGACUAACUAUUGUGCGUGUGUGUUUGUUUGCUUUAAUGAAUAAAUUCAGUCAACCAACCAUCUAGCUAUUGACUAAAUCCAUUCUUUUUCUUCCAAAAUGUCUAUUGGCUGAAGUUUACUGGUUUUUAUUUCUAUUCGCAUACGUAAUUUUCUAAACCCCAUUCUUAUGGAACCUUCUCUAAGUUCCUCUCUAUGGCCCUGUCCAUGUUCAUACGGAUACACAUAAAGACACAAAUACACCAAACUAAGUUUAGAGCAGUCUGGUGCCUGCCUAAGACUUCAGCCUCAUCUCCUGCUUCUACCCUCUUUAGUUUAGGAAAAACAGGUAACGUUGCUGAGUGCCAAGUAUUGUGUUAGUAGCUUUGCAUGCAUUUUUUCAUUUUAUCUUCACAAGUUUCUUCUAUCACCAUGAUCUGUAUGUUUGACCAUGGUGUUUCCUCCACCUGAAAUUCCCUUGGUGCUCUGCCUGGGGAACUGUUACUCAUUCUUCAAAUCUCAACGGAAUGAUCUCCUCCUCUGGAAAGCUCUCCCUACUUCCCUAGGAAGAAGUAAUCCCUUCCUCAGUUCUGCUUUGAUUAUAACUUUAUAAGCACCUAUCACUCUGCAUGGUAUUAGUUCACUGUCAUGUCCAUUUCCUCUAUUGGGAUGUAAAUUGCUUAUGGGUAAUAAUUAGGCUUUGAAUCAUUUUAUGAUCUGGCCUAAGACAGUGCUUGGCACAUACUAUAGGCUCAUCAGAUGAUGGCUGAGUAGAAUUAAAUUGAAUCAAGUUGAAGUUAUACUUUGAUGUUUAUCAAUUAACAUGUGUAGUGUGUUAAAUGGUGGUCACUGAAAACAUACGUCUGCACCCUAAUUCCUGGAACCUGUGAAUAUAACCUUACAUGUUAAGAAGAAAUAUGACCUUAAAUGGAUAUGGAGACAAGGAGCUUAUCCUGGAUUGUCUGAGAGGGCCCUAGAUGCAAUCGCAUGUAUUCUGAUAAGUGGAGAGAAACAGAAGAGGAGGAUGCAAUGUGACCAUGUAGGCAGAAGUUUGAAUGGUGCAGCCACAAGCCAAGGAGCCCCUGGGGCCAUCAGAAGCUGGAAGAAGCAAGGAAUGGAUUCCUUCCUAGUGUUUGGAAGGAGUGUGCACUUGCCAACACCUUGGUUUGAGACUUCUGGCCUCUGGAACUGUGACAGAAUAAAUAUCUGUUGUUUUGAGCCACCCAAUUGUUGCUAAUUUGUUAAAGCAACCUUAGAAAAUUAAUAUAGCAUCCACAAUAAAAUUUCUCAAAAUAUAUGUUCCUGUGAAAUGGAAGAGUUCUAGGGAUCUAGUAGCAUAUACGGAACCCAGAUAAGUUAUACAAGUUUUUCCCUGAAAGUCUUUUCAGAUUCUUUAGCGGGCUAAGGUGCAUUGUGAAUCCCAAAAACUUUAGCGUUUUUCAGCAUCUAUUAUCACAUAAUCCUUUCCCCACCCAUGGAAUUAUAUACUAAACUGUUUUUGUAGAUGUUGAUGUUCUGUAGAACAGAGUUUUGGGGUCUGUAUGACUUAAGAUCCUUCUACAAUGGAACACAGUGAGGAGGGUAUUCAGAGGAGUCAUAGAGGGCAUUGAUCUUGCAAUAUAUACUCAGGAAAUUACCAUGGGCAGAAUAAAAUGCUUUUGAAAAU